UUGUAUCAUAAUUUGGGCUCCAGGUUCAGCAGACAAUAAAGAGGUGAUUUGGUUUCCUGCUGGCCAUUAUUUGCUGAGCAUAAAUUUCCCCUGAAGACCCACUGGAAGGGGUAUGGUUGGUAUUCUUGGAUCUCCUAGACACAAGGCAGCUGAAAUCUAAGUGCCACAUUCUAGAAUGAGGAACACCAUGGUGGACUAGGAGAGAUGGAGCCAGUUACUGGACUGUUGCAAUGAGGCAGGGGCUAUGGAGGGGGAGAAGAUGAGGGUCCACACCAGCCAGGUCACAGCGUGCUGUGUGUUGAGUCAGGAAAGUGACAUCAGGCAAUGGGAGCCACUGGCAGGUGUCAGGCAGGGGAACAGCAUGGCCAAUUUUACAUUUAGAACUCUGAAAGUUAAAAGAGGAUGAACUUGAAAGGACGAGACUGGAGGCAGGGAACCAAUUACAUAGUUGCUGCAGUGGUACAGAUGACAGAUAAUGAGAGCCUACAACGAGACAGGAGAAGAAGACACAGAAAAGGAAGAGAGCAUUUAAGAGAGAUGGAUGGGGUAAGAUCAACCAGGCUUGCUGGCUGGAAUGACGUGUGAGAGGGAGGUGAUGGAGAGCCUCUAGGACGACUCCCAAGUUCCCAGCAUGGAUGGCAGAGGAGGAAGAAGAUCACAGCAUAGAGGAAGAAGUAACUGAGAAGACAUAGUAAGAAAAGUACAGCACUAGGAGUGAGAGGAUGAAGUCCAAGUUCUAGCACCUUCACUUCCUGGAUAUUGAAAGAAUGUAUGUCCUUAACCCUCUAAGCAACUCAGCUUCUCCAACUACAAGAGGAGAAACCAGGAGAAUUCACCUCUCACAAGGCUGUUGUGAGCAUAAGACGAACUUGCCAAGGGGAAGGUCCUCGCCACCUCAGAAGUGGUGAACACAGGUCAGAUAAUAGAAUCAUGGCUACUGGAAUCUGUGGAUAUGGACAUGGCGGAAAAGACUGACAGGUGGCAGCAGAAUAGCCAACUCCAGAGAAGCCCCUUGGGCAAUGACACUGAAACAGGCUCCUGAAGAAAACGUAAUGGUACGUCCAGCUGCCUAAAGAGAAGGGCACUGAGGGUGAGAGCACAGAGGAAUGGACCACAGCGGGGUCAGGAAAGUGGAGCAGCUGGAUCUUUCUUCUGGAACCUGGAGUCUGAGGUCUGCAAAAGGACAAGAGCUGACCUGGAAAGGUCGGGGGUCGAUAACAUCCUGGACCAUCUCACUAAGGAGCUUGGAUGUGACCGUGAGAGACAGAUGAAUCUGUAGGAUGGAAGUCAGCAAAGAGCAAGAUCUGUGCUGCAGAAUUCCAACUCUGGUAGGAGUACAAAAGGCAUUUUUGAGGGAAUGCUAGAAAAAAAACUGGAGAAAUGUCAAACAUUACUCUCUUAAGAAGAUUAAUGUUUUAGCAAUAUUUAAACAUUCAAUAAAUGGGGUAAUUGGGCCUGUAUGUUAAAAACAGAUUAAUAGCUACUUGGAGCUCACUGUACUUUUUGUCCGUGAUUAGUGUAAAUAAAACCUCAAAUUGCAAUAAUACAAGAAUGUGCAACUAAAUAUAAACAUGACCUACUUCUCAUAGCAGUAAAUUGUUCAACAACAAGCAGUUCCUACUGGUGUACACACUUCCUCAGGGCACCAUGUAUCAAUCUUGAUGCCCUAUCCUCCAUCCAGAUGACCUACAGCAUAAACCAUCCCACAGUCCUUCUCGCAUAAUCCACCAAUGACCCCAGCUACAGAACACAGUUGAUGUUCCAGAGCACAGCACAGAAGGCCUUCCAGAAUCAGAACUAACUUUUCCUGCCCCACCCCUGUCUGACUUCCUCCUGUACCUGUUCCCUCUGGAUUUAGGCUCCGUAACACUGAACUCCUUCAGUUCUCAGAAUUUGCUGCCUGGCCAAUCUCAGAUCCCCAAGCCUCUGGUAACAUUUUUCAUGCUUGGGAUGCACUGCCUCUCAGCAUCUGGCCAGUCUUCACUUUAACUCAAAGCAAGUUGAACAACAUCCUUGGUUACUAGGCUAAAAGCCAGCCCUUCACUGGCCUCACUACAUGCUGUCCACAAUCUUCAGUCUGUGCACCGACUCUACAGCAUUGCAACAAACUGCU